rnacentral:rRNA from 1 species
CCUACGGGUGGCUGCAGUGAGGAAUAUUGGUCAAUGGACGAGAGUCUGAACCAGCCAAGUAGCGUGAAGGAUGACUGCCCUAUGGGUUGUAAACUUCUUUUAUAAGGGAAUAAAACGUGGCACGUGUGGGAUUUUGUAUGUACCAUAUGAAUAAGGAUCGGCUAACUCCGUGCAAGCAGCCGCGGUAAUACGGAGGGUCCGCGCUUUAGCCGGAUUUAUUUGGUUUAAAGGGAGCGUAGGGGGGUUGUUAAGUCAGUUGGGAAAGUUUGCCGCUCAACCGUAAAAUUGCAGUUGAUACUGGCAGUCUUGAGUACAGUAGAGGUGGGCGGUAUUCGUUGUGUAGCGGUU